UACAGAGGUCUCAAGCGUUGUUCGGAUUCAUUGGGCGUAAAGGGUGUGUAGGUGGCGCGCUAAGUCGGGUGUGAAAUUUCGGAGCUUAACUCCGAAACUGCAUUCGAUACUGCGUGCUUGAGGACUGGAGAGGAGACUGGAAUUCAUGGUGUAGCAGUGAAAUGCGUAGAGAUCAUGAGGAAGACCAGUGGCGAAGGCGGCGACGCUGGACACCUUCUGACGCUGAGGCGCGAAAGCCAGGGGAGCAAACGGG
rnacentral:rRNA from 1 species